rnacentral:rRNA from 1 species
AUCUGGCGUCUUUGGCGUCCGAGUUGUAAUUUGAAGAAGGUAUCUUUGGGCCCGGCUCUUGUCUAUGUUCCUUGGAACAGGACGUCACAGAGGGUGAGAAUCCCGUGCGAUGAGAUGACCCGGGUCUGUGUAAAGUUCCUUCGACGAGUCGAGUUGUUUGGGAAUGCAGCUCUAAGUGGGUGGUAAAUUCCAUCUAAAGCUAAAUAUUGGCGAGAGACCGAUAGCGAACAAGUACAGUGAUGGAAAGAUGAAAAGAACUUUGAAAAGAGAGUGAAAAAGUACGUGAAAUUGUUGAAAGGGAAGGGCUUGAGAUCAGACUUGGUAUUUUGCAUGCUGCUCUCUCGGGGGCGGCCGCUGCGGUUUACCGGGCCAGCAUCGGUUUGGAGCGGCAGGAUAAUGGCGGAGGAAUGUGGCACGGCUUCUGCUGUGUGUUAUAGCCUCUGACGAUACUGCCAGCCUAGACCGAGGACUGCGGUUUUUACCUAGGAUGUUGGCAUAAUGAUCUUAAGUCGCCCGUCUUG